UACGUAGGGUGCGAGCGUUGUCCGGAAUUACUGGGCGUAAAGAGCUCGUAGGUGGUUUGUCGCGUUGUUCGUGAAAACUCACAGCUUAAAUGUGGGCGUGCGGGCGAUACGGGCAGACUGGAGUACUGCAGGGGAGACUGGAAUUCCUGGUGUAGCGGUGGAAUGCGCAGAUAUCAGGAGGAACACCGGUGGCGAAGGCGGGUCUCUGGGCAGUAACUGACGCUGAGGAGCGAAAGCGUGGGGAGCGAACAGG
rnacentral:rRNA from 1 species